GGCAUGCCAUCUACAUGUGAAUUAGAUCAUGAACUCCUGGACUUCAAUGCCAUAGUGUUGAAGAUUUUGGCAUGUCUUUCUAUAGAGGCAGGGAUGUUAAUAUUUUCUGGACAGCAAGCACUGAGACAUAAUUAGAGCAUCACACUGGGUUCCACAAGCACAUCCUUUACUUUUCUACUGUAAAUUUUUACUUUAGCAUAAUAGUAGCCAGCUAUACAUCUCAGUACAUUACCUUGGGGGAUACAGGAAGCAAUCAUUGUGUUUACCAAGCAGUCAUUGGUCUGAUGAAUGACAAGGUGUGUGCACCUGUGCAAAAGUGUCAAACUGGGAUUUUUGCCCAUUUAUGUUACACCCAACAGGUUUUUUGUGUAUCUACCUGAGCAUCACACAGGAUAUAAUUCACCCACACCACUCUAGGAUUUGUUUUAAACAAAGUUUUCUUUUGAUUUUUCUGGUAAAAGUAGCUCAAUUCAGUAUAAUGACACAUGAAAAACCAGAUUUGCAAGUUUUGGAGGAGGUCAACAGUGAAUCAUAAGAUAAAGAUGAUCCAUUAUGGUAAAAUACAUGUUUUCAUAACAGAAGAGUGGUGUGGGUGUAUGAUGAUGAUGAUGAUGAUGAUGAUGAUGAUGAUGAUGAUGACUUUGAUGUUGGCCAUGUGAGCCAAAGUUCCUGUGACAGUGAAAUGGAACAAGAUCGACUGAUACAGUCACAGGAAUGCAGACCUCCUUGAUUCAAAUAACAAAGAAAACAACAAUGAAUUGAACUCAAGUCCUUGCACUUGCAAGGCAGGCAGCGGAACCACUGAGCUAAAUCCCCGGCUGAAUACAUUACUAUUAAUGAACAUCUUGCAGAAUUUCAUGGCAGCUAUAGUUUCAGGGAGUAUAAGCUAAAAAACCCCCAAAAACCAAAAUAAAAACCCCUUCAAAAUAUGGCAUAAAAAUUUAUGCCUUUGUAGAUGCGAGGACUUAUUAUCCUUUCAAUUUAGAAAUUUAUCAUGGAACUCAACCUUAUUCAUAUAGUAAUAAACUGAAUGAUGCUGUGAACAGGCUUAUUGUUCCCAUCUCCCAAACUAAUUGAAGUAUGCCAUUAGACAAUUGGUUUACCAGCUUCAAUCAAUAUUGCAUUUGCUAACAGAGCACAAAUUGACCAGCAUAGGAAUUGUAUGCAGGAUCAAAGUGGAAAUUCCAAAC
rnacentral:lncRNA from 1 species